AUUCAAUUUCUGCGGUUGUAAACCUCUGUCGGGCAGGCACGUAGCCUGCCAGAGGAAGCACCGACCAACUACGUGCCAGCAGUCGCGGUUCAGACGUAGGGUGCGAGCGUUGGCCAGUAUCACUGGGCGUAAAGGGCGCCUAGGCGGCCAGGCAAGUCGGGCGUGAAAUCCCCCAGCCCAACUGGGGAAGUGCGCUCGAUACUGCUUGGCUUGAGGGCAGUAGAGGAGAGUGGAAUUCCCGGUGUAGCGGUGAAAUGCGUUGAUAUCGGGAGGAACACCAAUGGCGAAGGCAGCUCUCUAGGCUGUUCCUGACGUUGAAGGCGCGAAAGCCAGGGGAGCGAACCGGUCUGGCCCCCGGGUAGUCCUGGCCCUAAACGAUGGACACUUGUCCUGGGGGAGCUAGUUGGCAAUUUAGUUCACUGGCUCAGAGCUAUCUGAGUGAUGAGCUAGUAAACUAAAUAGCUUCGAACUCUCCCGGGGCGGAGCUUACGCGUUAAGUGUCCCGCCUGUGGAGUACGGCCGCAAGGCUGAAAAUCAUGGGAAUUGGGGACGCCUGCACAAGCGGCUGAGCAUGUGGCUUAAUUGGACCCUGACCCAAGAACCUUACCAGGGCUGUCCGCAUGCCUGAGGUUUCGGCCCAGCCGUUGGAAACAACGGCCGGUCGCCGACCUCCAGCCGUAGCAAUGAAUAUUGUUUCGGUUUGCAAGCGGCGUGCGGACAAGGUGCUGAGUGGCUGUUGUCAGUCCGCGUCGUGAGAUGUCCGGUUCACUCCGGGAGCGGACGAAACCCCACACCCCCUGUUGCUCCAUUACCCGGGCAGAAAGCAAUUUAAGGUUGUGAAAAUCUAGUUUUCUCGGCCUCAAAAUCGCAACUGCCCGGGGAGUUGAGCACUCUGGGGGAACCGCCGCCCUGCCCUUGGGGCGGGGUUGGAGGAAGGAGGGGACGACAGCGAGUCCGUGCGGCCCGCAAGCCCUGGGCCGCACACAUGCUACAGUGGCCCGUACAAUCGGCGACCCCGCGAGGGGGAGGCAAUCCAAAAAGCGGGCCGUGGUUCGGAUUGCAGUCUGCAACUCGACUGCAUGAAGGUGGCCCAUUGUGGGCGUCGCUAGUAACUGCCGGUCAGCGAUACGGCGGUGAAUACGUUCCCAGGCGUCCUUCAUACCGCUAACCGCGUUCCGGCCGCGCGGGCCCGACCGAAGCCCUGUGUAGAUGUGCUAGAAGGAAAGGCGGGGAAACUCUUCUCUUUCAUCUUUUGCAUGCUGACGGGGUUAGGCGGGCCCAACCGGCUGGACGUUGGAGUAGCAAGGCAACCGUACCGGAAGGUGCGGUUGGACUUUCUUAAAA
rnacentral:rRNA from 1 species